UCCAUAACCCUAUUCCCCUCUUUUUCUUUCUUCUAUCCACAUGUACGAUCCCAAAUUAAUGAAUCCAUUUAUAUUUUAAAGGAAAACCCAGAAUUGAAGAACUUGAGAUCAGUGGGAGUGUAAUUCAUUAAGAGAAUGCCUCAAUUUCUGAUUUACACCCACAUACAAAGACGAGAUCAGUUACUGGAUUGGUAAUUUCAUAUGACGACUCGUCAAUGGCUUUUAUCCCUCCACAUUGAUUCUUCAACUGGCAACCCAUUCCUUCCGUCAACUCCUCCUCGAUCGUUGGAUUUACAGACCAUGUUUUCCACCAGGUAUAUUGCUUUGUUUCCUUCUUUAUCAUCCUAUCACUCUCCUUGUGUUGCUAAUCUUCGUUCCACAUUCACUGCCCUCAUCAAGUCAGAGAAAUAUAACGUGUCCACCCCUUUUUUUUAUCUUCAUAGCUCCAUGUUUAUACUCGAUCUUGAUUAAUGGUUAUAAUAAUGAGAUUGUUUUGUUGGGGUUAUUGGAGGCCAUGGAGGCAAAAAUGAAUUAUGAUGUUUACUUUUGGAAUUCCAAGGUUGAUCGAUAGUCACAAAAAGGAAUAAGAAAUUAUUUUUCCCCGUUUUGCUUUAGUUCUUGGUUGCUUACAUUCAACUUUUCUCCUAAGUCAAAGGAACCAGAAGGUGGAUUGUUCGAUUCAAGAAUAUUUACAUUCCAUAUCAUAUACACAUUAUGUUUGUUGGCAUCUCAUCAAACAUUUACAAUCUUUUCAACACGACUAACAAUUUCCUCACCAUUGUUUUUGUUUUAUUCCAAAAAUUUUGAUAA